GAGGCAGUGUCUCGAAAACAAAAUGGUGGUUUCACCCCCUGUUUAUCUGAAAAUCUCAUAAAUUGGAGCCAGCAGUGCAGCUGCCUCCUCCCUACAGAUGAGCACACUUGGCUCUUUUCUCUUCCUUGCCUCACUGAGUCUUGCAUACAGCUGAUCUAACUAUUUAGAUGCUGAAGAUGACAGAUAAGGAGUUUGCCUUCCCUACCACCACCACCUGUCUAAGCUGUAGAAUUGCAAUAUGCAAGCCUGGAGGACAUGAUUUCACAGAUUGCAUUCAGAGAUCUAUGCCUGACAAAGUGAGGUCAAAGCCUGAUCCUUAAGAUUGUCAUGCCCAGUGUGGUCUAGAAAGAUCUCACUAACUUUGUCCUUGCGUGUGUCAGUGCUCUUUAGAACCUGAGCAAGCAAUUGAACCUGACUUCAUUCUCCAUAUACAACUUGGCAGAAGGGCCCAGGGUGAGGUCUGGAGCAGCUUUUGGGCUGAGGAUAAACAGCCCUUGGAGAGUCUUUAGGCUUCUGCAUCAUUUAUCUGCUGGACGUGCUCUCUGAUCUGCUGUGGGAAAAUCUCAUAUUUACACUGAUCUGUUCAAUCAGAUCAAUCCAAGUGCUCUAUGGUUUGUCCGCCAACAUCAGUGUGUAGCUGGUGGCUGCAGGGUGUGUUCUCUCCUUAUUGCAUUUUGGAUAAAACAGUUUCAGCUGGCAACGAAGUCAACAUUCUUAUGCUGUUUUUAAUUGUUUAGAGCUUUUUCCAUCAAAGCCAUAUUCCACACCCUUUGUAAGUAAGCCUCCAAAUUAUUAAAGUUUUUCCAGUUGUAUGCUAUCACUUGACGCACUGCCACCAAUGAAAAUGUGAUUAAUUCUUUGUAC